CUUUUGUGGACACGAAGAGAAUUCCUUUAACUCGAAGCAAUUCGCGUGCGAGCGAGAGAUAGAGAGAGAGAGAGAGAGAGAGACAUAGAGAGAAUUUUCACAACUUUCUCGUCUAUUCGCUUAAAGCAAAGCUUGAAGGGUUUUGAUUUCUCUACUUUGGAUUUCAUGAAACUCCAAACCCUAAUUAAAAAAUUCCUCUUUUUUUUACAAUUAGGGUUUCAUGAAUCAUUCAAUUACUAAAAACCUUAGAUAACAACAAUUUAUCCUCAAAAUCAUGGAGGGAGGUGGUGGAGGAUCAUCAUCAUCAGCAUCUUUGGUUGAAGCUGCUCCAGAUUCAUGGGAAUUAGAAGAUUUAGAUGAAAGUAUGAGUAGAUUAAUGGUUUCAUCCUAAUAAGAAAUCUACAGCUUCGUCU
rnacentral:lncRNA from 1 species